rnacentral:rRNA from 1 species
CCUACGGGAGGCAGCAGUGGGGAAUUUUGGACAAUGGGCGCAAGCCUGAUCCAGCAAUGCCGCGUGAGUGAAGAAGGCCUUCGGGUUGUAAAGCUCUUUUGUCAGGGAAGAAACGGUAGUUCCUAAUACGGACUACUAAUGACGGUACCUGAAGAAUAAGCACCGGCUAACUACGUGCCAGCAGCCGCGGUAAUACGUAGGGUGCAAGCGUUAAUCGGAAUUACUGGGCGUAAAGCGUGCGCAGGCGGUUAUAUAAGUCAGAUGUGAAAUCCCCGGGCUCAACCUGGGAACUGCAUUUGAGACUGUAUGGCUAGAGUGUGUCAGAGGGGGGUAGAAUUCCACGUGUAGCAGUGAAAUGCGUAGAUAUGUGGAGGAAUACCGAUGGCGAAGGCAGCCCCCUGGGAUAACACUGACGCUCAUGCACGAAAGCGUGGGGAGCAAACAGGAUUAGAUACCCUGGUAGUCCACGCCCUAAACGGUGUCUACUAGUUGUCGGGACUUAAUUGUCUUGGUAACGCAGCUAACGCGUGAAGUAGACCGCCUGGGGAGUACGGUGCAAGAUUAAAACUCAAAGGAAUUGAACGGCNGAGAGNGCGAGACGACGACGAGGAGGAGG